rnacentral:rRNA from 1 species
UACGGGGGGAGCAAGCGUUGUCCGGAUUUAUUGGGCGUAAAGAGCGUGUAGGCGGCCAUGCAGGUCCGUUGUGAAAACUCGAGGCUCAACCUCGAGACGCCGGUGGAAACCGUGUGGCUAGAGUCCGGAAGAGGAGAGUGGAAUUCCUGGUGUAGCGGUGAAAUGCGCAGAUAUCAGGAAGAACACCCGUGGCGAAGGCGGCUCUCUGGGACGUGACUGACGCUGAGACGCGAAAGCGUGGGGAGCAAACAGG